GAUGAACGCUGGCGGCGUGCCUAAUACAUGCAAGUCGAGCGAACGGACGAGAAGCUUGCUUCUCUGAUGUUAGCGGCGGACGGGUGAGUAACACGUGGAUAACCUACCUAUAAGACUGGGAUAACUUCGGGAAACCGGAGCUAAUACCGGAUAAUAUUUUGAACCGCAUGGUUCAAAAGUGAAAGACGGUCCUGCUGUCACUUAUAGAUGGAUCCGCGCUGCAUUAGCUAGUUGGUAAGGUAACGGCUUACCAAGGCAACGAUGCAUAGCCGACCUGAGAGGGUGAUCGGCCACACUGGAACUGAGACACGGUCCAGACUCCUACGGGAGGCAGCAGUAGGGAAUCUUCCGCAAAGGGCGAAAGCCUGACGGAGCAACGCCGCGUGAGUGAUGAAGGUCUUCGGAUCGUAAAACUCUGUUAUUAGGGAAGAACAUAUGUGUAAGUAACUGUGCACAUCUUGACGGUACCUAAUCAGAAAGCCACGGCUAACUACGUG
rnacentral:rRNA from 1 species